rnacentral:rRNA from 1 species
UACGUAGGGGGCAAGCGUUGUCCGGAAUCAUUGGGCGUAAAGAGCGUGUAGGCGGCUCGGUAAGUCCGCUGUAAAAGUCCAGGGCUCAACCCUGGAAAGCCGGUGGAAACUGUCGAGCUAGAGUCCGGAAGAGGCGAGUGGAAUUCCUGGUGUAGCGGUGAAAUGCGCAGAUAUCAGGAGGAACACCAAUGGCGAAGGCAGCUCGCUGGGACGGUACUGACGCUGAGGAGCGAAAGCGUGGGGAGCGAACAGG